AAUACAUGUCCACAAUUACAAGUCAUCUUGCACAUGAUCCUGGCUCACAUGGACAGGAUUACAAUCCCAAAUGAAAAACAUGAGCUUGUUGAGAAUGAUAAAAUCUCUGUCACUACAGCAGAACAUGCAAUCAAGUCUAUAAUUAGCCAAAAAAUAUGAAGACUGAGAUUUAACUCUAUAUCAACUAACAAAUUAGCUUGAAUGGCAAAGUCAGA
rnacentral:lncRNA from 1 species